AUCAAGGUUAGACUCCGGGCGGACAUUUUGUUGUAACUUCAACAUUUUGUUGUCAACACAAGAAAAACAAUGAAGAGAGAGGCAUCAGUCGAACCAUCCACUUCAGUGAAAAGUGUCAAGCUGGUGAGGUCAGACUCACCUGCAUCCAGCUAUGCGUCUCUAAAGACAUUGGAUCCACCAGCAAACUUCAAAGAAGAAUUUGGACUUCAUUUAAGGUCUG